UACAGAGGUCUCAAGCGUUGUUCGGAUUCAUUGGGCGUAAAGGGUGCGUAGGCGGCGCGGUAAGUCGGGUGUGAAAUCUCGGAGCUUAACUCCGAAACUGCAUUCGAUACUGCCGUGCUUGAGGACUGGAGAGGAGACUGGAAUUUACGGUGUAGCGGUGAAAUGCGUAGAUAUCGUGAGGAAGACCAGUUGCGAAAGCGGGUCUCUGGGCAAUUCCUGACGCUGAGGCACGAAGGCUAGGGGAGCAAACGGG
rnacentral:rRNA from 1 species